GACGAACGCUGGCGGCGUGCCUAAUACAUGCAAGUAGAACGCAGUUGCGAACGGGCGAGUAAGUCGUAGGUCACUGCCUGGUAGCGGGGGGUAACUAUUGGAAACGAUAGCUACUACCGCAUACUACCAGAUGGAUCUGCGUUGUAUUAGCUAGUUGGUGGGGUAACGGCCCACCAAGGCAACGAUACAUAGCCGCCCUGAGAGGGUGAUCCGCCACACUGGGACUGAGACACGGCCCAGACUCCUACUGGAGGCAGCAGUAGGGAAUCUUCGGCAAUGGGCGGAAGUCUGACCGAGCAAUGCCGCGUGAGUGAAGAAGGUCUUCGGUUCGUAAAGCUCUGUUGUUAGGGAAGCGGUAUCUUACCAGAAAGGGACGGCUAACUACGUGCCAGCAGCCGCGGUAAUUC
rnacentral:rRNA from 1 species